GGGGACAAAAUAGAUAUUCAUGAAUAAAUAAAUAAUUUUUGAAAAAACACAAAAUUCGCGAUACUUUUUGAACACACCUCGUAGAAUCUAUUACUCCGGAAGAAUAUAAAAAAAGUAGACGUACGAGCUAAAGUGCGGCAUUCAGAUGAUGCUUACAGUUUUGAUGAUUUUUCGGAUAAAGUUCCAGUAAAAAAACGCAAUUCUAAAGUAUUACCACCAUUUCCAAUCGUACCAAAUAAAGGUAAAACGUCAAAAUCGAAAAGUUGUGAUAACAUUAUGCGUAAAGAAAAAUCCAAUGAAAAACAUGAAGCCACAAGAUUCUCAACUUAAUUCACUGACAGAGAAAUCUGACGACGAGGAUGACAUUAAUUAUGACGAAAUUGAAAAAGACGAUUGCGUAAGAAAAGAAAAUUUAGAAUCAAAUAUUGCUCUUGAAAGUGUACCAUCGUCAAUGCGAAAACAGGAUCCAUUAAAAAAAAAUAAUUAAAAAAAUUGAGGAGCAACAAGAUAAACCUAUUAAAAUUGCUUAUUUGAAGGAAAUUUUGUUUAUUCAGCACAAAAUUUUACUACAGUUUGAAGAACUGAAAAAAAACAGAGCAAACGAGACUAUAAGACAAGAAUCAACCUCGUUAUUAACUAAUACAAUAGUAGACAUUUGCAAAUUUGCAAAAAGUCUACCGUUAAAAAAUGAGGAAGAUUUACAGAAAAUGGAAAAAAAUCUUCAAACGGAAGAGUUUCGUACAAAAUGGGUAUAAUAUUAAUGAAACUUUUUUUUAGAUUGAUUAUUAAUUAUUUUAAUGUUGUAAUUGUAUAAAAAUAAAAAACUGUUUUAGCACAGUUUUGUAAUUGUAAAUAUAACUUAUAAGUAAACGGUAAUUUUUUAAAAUUAUCUUUGCAACUUUACUUUCUGUAAUUGUUGCUUUAAAAUUUUGAAAUAUACCAUAAUCGGAUAAUUUAAAUAUGUUUGUAUAUAUUAAUUAUGACAUGUGUCACAUAAAAUAAUUUGUAUUAUUAAUUAUUAUACCAUAAAUAAUCCAACUUUAAACAGGCUCUUAAGUGUUUCUUGUUAUAUCCGUAAUAAAUAUAAUUGUCGACAAAUAAAAUGAUACAAUUACUUAUAAGCUGUUACAGACACAAUGUUCCAAAUUAACGAUUCUUUUUAAGACAAUGAGAAUAGGUCCAAACAAAAAACGGUACUAUCAGAAUGACUAUUAUUCUUUAUUAAAACAUAUUUUUAUCUACAAAAAUAAUACGUUAUUUGCACGUUAUAUUUCAUCUCAUACUUUAUGAAAUUUCGCCACCGUUACAAUCAUUUAAAAUUCUUAGGCCCGAUUUUUCAUUAUCCGGUUAACUUGUGGUUAAACUUAACUUAAUGUUUUAUCCAAUGAGCUUUACUCAUGAUGAUGCCAUAAGUGAAGCUCAUUGGUUGAAACACCAAGUUAAGUUUAACUACAAGUUAACCAGAUAAUGAAAAACCGGGUCUUAAUGUACCAGUCAGCAAAAUGAAAUCAGCCGAUUUUUGUAAAUUUAUAUUCUUUUAAAGCUUUUACUAAUAAAUACAAAUAAUUUUUCUAAUAAUAAAGUAUCCUAGCUAAGGCCUCUUUGACGUUUAUGUAUUAAAAACAAGAAUCGUUAAUCCUGCCUGGACGUCAAUGUUUCUAUACAAAGGUAUUUUAUAUGACUAUAGUUCAUAAAAUAAAGCACUCACUUUUGUUUGAGUUUGUAUCUUAACUUGUAUGUAUCCGAGAAAACGUAAUUGUUAUUGUCAUUGCUCUAUUUUGUUGAUGUAAAAAUUGUGAACUGUAUAUAAUCUGUUUAUAUUUGUAGACACACAACACAUAUAUAAUACAGAGUAUAUAUGUGACACACAUAAUGUUCACAUUUCUACAUUUGCAAAAACUAAUUUACGCUAUCUUUUCAUUAUAACUGCUUCCAAUGUUACAAUUUACGGUAAGAAAAUUUUUAUGUAAGAAUAUAUAAGCCUACUGAAAAUCUUUCUUGAUUCAAUUUUCCUACAGAUUAUUUAAAUUUAUAUAUUUCUGUAAUAAUGUUUUUCAUCGAAUUGAAUAAACAUAUGACAUUGUACUGACUGCACAAAUAUCAAUUGCUAUGUUGAAUUUUCUUCCGAGUUGUUGUAUCUAAUUUACAUUUACUGUAAGUUUAUUGUCAUUAAAUAUUACACAUUAUAAAAAAAUAUUAACCGAACAUCACUUUCCAAAUUGAAGAAAAUGUGACUUUGAAUACAUAACAUUCUUAUUAAAACAGUUAUUAAUAUUUAAUUUAAGCAAAUUUUAAGUAUACGUAUAUUAUGUUCAAAUUUUAAUACGUUUGUUCUAUGGGAGAUAUGUUGUGGGAUAAAAUAGAUAAUUUAAGUAAAGAAGUUUAUGAAUUUAAAAUUGAAAGCAAACAACAAUAUAAUAAGUGUAUGUCAAAAAUGAAGGAACUAAUCGCAAUCUUAAAAGAGAAAUUCCCAAAUAACGAGAUCGAAAACGAAAACAAUGACUUAAUAUUGCUCAUUGUUGCCCGAUUUCCCAUUAUUAUCUAUAGAAGAAUUUUGGGAAUUUAAUAAUAGAUUAAAAACGAUGAAGCAAUUCGUAAAUUACUUGUAAGUAUUAUUACUUAUUGUACACUUUAUAUCUUCUACACUUUUUUUACGUAUAUAAUUUUUCACCGGCUGAAAUAGUUCUAUGAAAUCAAGAACAUGUACUUUUUUCAUAUUUAAAUAAUGCUAUUUGAAUAUUUUUGACAGAAGCAAACUAUUAUGCAAAUAGGUGGUGAUACAAGCCAAGAAAUAAUCUCCAAUAUCUUGACACAUACAAUGGCAUAUGAAUUAGGACACAAAAUGUCUUGGACCGGUGCCAAAAGAUCGAUUGCUAUCAAAAAUACUCUGUUUAUUCACAUUAUAAUUAGUGAGUAAUUAAUAUAUGUUUUUACAUUAAAACAGUUUGAUAUAUGCUAACAUGAUUAUUAUGAGGGAUAUAAUAAUGCGUGCAUCUUUGUAAUAACAUAUUAAGAACAAUGUACCACUGAAGAAGAGUAAACAAUACUUAAUUUCUAUCUAUUUUUA